AAAAAUAAAAGAAAUCUUUAUUUUGUCUAGGAGUAGCAGCUCCAGCAAUCAGUACAUUUGGAGAGCAGAUUUGGUUAAGUAUGGAGGUAUGUUCUCACAGUAUUUUUCUAUGUAAAAUUAUAACACAGAGCCUGGCUUUGAGAUCCUCAGCACCUUUUCACUAAGGCAACAUAGUGCUACACUCCCUUUGACUCUUACAGAGAGAUGAAAACCUAAAAGCACUGCCACUUGUCCAAGGAGGCAAAACAUUCCAUUCUUGAUUUUUUUGGCUGAUAAGAAGUAAUUGGAAACACCUUCUCUAUGAAAUAUUGGGGGUUUCUAGUUUUUUUUUUUUCUCCUGAUAUCACCUAAAAGAGCACUUUUCACCCUCAGAUCCAAGGGGAAGGUUUUUACAUAGGACAUCUUUAUAUGCCCCCUGCAAGACUUACUAUCUGCAGGAACCUCCCUAAGAUAGAUCCUGGGCUAAGGUGGUGCUGAGAAGGGAGCAGGGGCUUCCUAGAAGCCCUCUUAAACAGGUGCCACAGGGUUUCAAGGCAACAUGGUCUUCCACAGGCCACCAGCAAGAGCAUCAGCAACCAGGUAACAUUUUCUGGUGGGUCAGCAGCCUGAAACUGGAACACGCUGGUCUAAACCUCCUGUUUUAUGGUAACUCUGAGCAAUGCAGUUCUGACACGCCCAGCAGCUAUGGGUUAUGUGCUAAACUGUAAGAAGUGGCACACUGAACAUCACCCCAGCAAGAAAAAUGGAAGAAACAGGGAAACAAGAAAGGAUGAUGACCCUAGCUAAGGUUGAACACCCUGCAACACCAGGUAGGAAUGGCUUUUUUAUCGUUUAAGUGCCAACACUUGUAAAAGCACAAAUAAGGGCAUUUUAGCCAGUAGAUGCUUCUAGAGGAAAGAUAUCCACCUUCUUGUCCACACCUUUUGUUUUUUAAGUUCAGUGUUUCCCUGCAUGGCUCAGUUUUCACUUAGGUAUUUAUUUCUGUAAAUCACCAGAUCCAAACCCACAUGGCCAUAGGGCUAGCAGGGCUGGGCUACAUUAACCCACAGGCAGCCAGGACGUGAGGUGGCCCAGCACUGAGCACAGCAUGACAACCCUGCCAAGAAGGGCGAGUGAUCCCCACUCCUGGCUGGCCACAGCAACCCAAAUUGCAGGCAAGGCUCAGCCUGAUCCCUUGUCGCUAGGAUCAAUUUUCAUCCUGAGGCUGUGCUGCAGCCUUCAUCCCACAGUCCUCACAACACCUCCAACAUAAGGAGGUAGCCUCAACUUCCAGGUUUGGAAAACCAAGAGGCAGAUUCUCAGCUGGUGCAAGUCAGCAUAGCUUCACUGGAGGCCAAAGAGCUACCCCAAUUCACUCCAAAAGAAGGUCUGACAUAGAGAGACAGAGGGACACACUG
rnacentral:lncRNA from 1 species